UGUACAAUCACGACAUUCACAUUCACACCUGUACAAUCACCAUUAUUCACAUCAAAAGCAAACUUAAAUAGAAAAUUUAACCAAACCAAAAGAUAAUAUUUUAUAUAAAUAAAAAUAAAGUACUAAUCGUCCAUUAUAAUCAAGAGUAAUAUAAAUAAAUAUAAAAAUACAAUAAAAAUAAAAUAAUAUCAAUCUGCAGGCGGAUGGUCGUCGUUGUCUCCAUGUGACGUGCUGCUAUCUCGACGGGUGCCUGAUAUGCCAGG
rnacentral:lncRNA from 1 species